UUAACGAUUUAUAUUUAUACUCAGACGACAUAAUUAUAAAAGAAUUUAAUAAGGCUACUGGCGAACACUGACCAGGGGCUUGUAAACCCCCGGCGGCCCCAAAAGGCGGGCCCGCCAAAGCAACAUGGUGUAGUAAACAAAGGGUUGGAGGUCGGGCCUAUAAGACCCUAACUCGGUAAUGAUCCUUCCGCAGGUUCACCUACGGAAA
rnacentral:misc_RNA from 1 species